UACGGAGGAUUCGAGCGUUAUCCGGAUUUACUGGGUUUAAAGGGUGCGUAGGUGGAAUGUCAAGUCAGUGGUGAAAACCUGCAGCUUAACUGUAGAACUGCCAUUGAUACUGUCAUUCUUGAGUGUAUUUGAUGUAUGUGGAAUGUGUCAUGUAGCGGUGAAAUGCUUAGACAUGACACAGAACACCCAUUGCGAAGGCAGCAUACAAAACUACAACUGACACUGAGGCACGAAAGCGUGGGGAUCAAACAGG
rnacentral:rRNA from 1 species